AUUUUUUUUUAGAGUUAAAUGCAUGAUAAUUCCGGUGAUAAUUUUUUUUUGCGUCGUGUUAAUUAGAUAUUUAAAAAAAAAAUCGAUAAAUAAUAAAAACACGUAGUAAAUGUUUAGAAGAGGUCUCCAGGGUGAGGAAUAUUUUAUGACAAGGCAAAAUCACACAACGAUUCCCAUGAGAUUCUAAUAAGAAGAAAAAACUCCAAAAGUUAUGUUUAUUCGACCAUCAAGUGAACAUGACAUCGCAUGAAGGUGAUGGAGGGGAAGAGUAUACAUGACAAAAUAACGUGAACUGUGCCUUGGUUACACAUGUUGAAUUGUCAAAAGUUUUGUUUUGAAAACAAACGAGUUGAAUUUUGGUUGAGAAAAUUAUUUUUUGGGACAGAAAAUGAUGGAAAAUUAAGAUUUGUUUGAAACUUUUACAAGAAAAUUAGUUAAAAUUGUACUUUUUGUUACAAAUUUUGAUGAAAUUAUGUUAAAUCAUGGCAUGAAUGAGGAAAAAAACUGAAUGAUAAAAUGGAGUUUA